CGCCGCCAGGGGCGCUGACGGCGCCACCCAAACGGCCCGCCAGCGUGCACGCAGAACUGGCCAGCCGACUGGCCGCCCGGAAGGUGCAGCCGGCGGGCACCUCCGGUCACCUGCCUCCGCCGCCGCCGCCGCCGCUGCCGCCCGAGAUGAAGCGAUCCCAGACCACGCCCGUGCUGAACGGCCCGGCCGACACAAGCCUGCACAGCUCCAACGACUCGGGCUUCGGAGCGGACCAGCACCCGCCGCCGCCGCCGCCGGAC